rnacentral:rRNA from 1 species
AGAGUUUGAUCCUGGCUCAGAACGAACGCUGGCGGCGCGUCUUAAGCAUGCAAGUCGAACGGCAAGAGAGGAGCUUGCUUCUCUCCUAGAGUGGCGGACUGGUGAGGAACACGUGGGUAAUCUACCCUUAAGAUGGGGAUAGCUGCUAGAAAUAGCAGGUAAUACCGAAUACACUCGAUAGUUCAUAAGAAGUAUUGAGGAAAGGAAGCUACGGCUUCGCUUGAGGAUGAGCUUGCGUCCCAUUAGCUAGUUGGUGAGGUAAAGGCCCACCAAGGCGACGAUGGGUAUCCGGCCUGAGAGGGUGAACGGACACAUUGGGACUGAGAUACGGCCCAGACUUCUACGGGAGGCAGCAGUUAAGAAUAUUCCGCAAUGGACGAAAGUCUGACGGAGCGACGCCGCGUGGAUGAAGAAGGCUGAAAAGUUGUAAAAUCCUUUUGUUGAUGAAGAAUAAGGGGAAGAGGGAAUGCUUCUCUGAUGACGGUAAUCAGCGAAUAAGCCCCGGCUAAUUACGUGCCAGCAGCCGCGGUAACACGUAAGGGGCGAGCGUUGUUCGGAAUUAUUGGGCGUAAAGGGCAUGUAGGCGGUUAUGUAAGCCUGAUGUGAAAUCCUGGGGCUUAACCCCAGAAUAGCAUUGGGUACUGUGUAACUUGAAUUACGGAAGGGAAACUGGAAUUCCAAGUGUAGGGGUGGAAUCUGUAGAUAUUUGGAAGAACACCGGUGGCGAAGGCGGGUUUCUGGCCGAUAAUUGACGCUGAGAUGCGAAAGUGUGGGGAUCGAACAGGAUUAGAUACCCUGGUAGUCCACACCGUAAACGAUGUACACUAGGUGUUGGGGCAAGAGCUUCAGUGCCAAAGCAAACGCGAUAAGUGUACCGCCUGGGGAGUAUGCCCGCAAGGGUGAAACUCAAAGGAAUUGACGGGGGCCCACACAAGCGGUGGAGCAUGUGGUUUAAUUCGAUGAUACGCGAGGAACCUUACCUGGGUUUGACAUCAAGAGGGAUACUAUAGAGAUAUGGUAGCGUGUUUACACGUCUCUUGACAGGUG